CGCACAAGAAAAGGUAGAACCUUUGGGAGGUACUUUCGUUCUACUUUACUAUAGCUGUUUUAGAUCUGCCGGUCGCUCUCUUGCAAGUGUGAGCCUAGCUCCCUCUCCUUGAUCUCUUCUUUUUGUUUUUAGCCGGAUUUGGCCUUUUAGCCAUCCCUUCGAUCAAAUAGAGCUUCCUAUCCUACGUUUUUCUUUUUUUCCCACGGUAGCGAUAUUCCUUUGCUACUUCUUUCCUCGGCUAAUGGAAAAAAAUCCUUCUUUUUAC
rnacentral:lncRNA from 1 species